AGACAUCUCCGUAGCCAGUCUGGAGCGGAUAAAGCUGCUGCCACCCUGCACACUCCUGGGAUAUGGAGUUCUAAGCUGAGAUAAGGUGAAUUCGCAGGAGAGAGAAAAAAUUACAAUGGUGGAAGAAAAGGAACAUAUUCACUUCCAGAUGGAGAUGAAGAAAUGAAAGCAGUCAGAAAUCCAGAUUUCGUUACUGUACUCUUCUUACGUUACGGAGAUCCAGUGCCUGCAAGGGAAGAGGACUAUCACCGCCCAGGGAGGGAGAGCCA